rnacentral:rRNA from 1 species
GACGAACGCUGGCGGCGUGCUUAACACAUGCAAGUCGAACGGAAAGGCCCUGCUUUUGUUGUUUCCUCGAGUGUCGAACAGGUGUGUAACACGUGUGUAACCUGCCCUUGACUUUGGGGUAACUUCAUGAGACUCGAUCUCUUACCCGAUAUGACCGCCUGCGUCACAUUGUAUCUUGUAAAAUUUCGGCGGUUGGGGAUGGACUCGCGGCUUAUCAGCUUGUUGGUGGGGUAGUGGCUUACCAAGGCUUUGACGGGUAGCCGGCCUGAGAGGGUGACAGGCCACAUUGGGACUGAGAUACGGCCAAGAGUCCUACGGGAGGCAGCAGUGGGGAAUAUUGCGAAAUGGGCGGAAGCCGGAUGCAGCAACGCCGGGUGCGGGAUGACGGCCUUAGGGUUGGAAACCGCUUGCGCCUGUGAAGAAGAGUGAGUGACGGUAAUGGGUAAAGAAGAACCGGCUAACUACGUG